rnacentral:misc_RNA from 1 species
UUGUGGCACUUGUAGCAAGGCCCUCAACUUAGAAGCCACUACAGCCAUGAAGGCAGCCCUCGUCCUGCUGAUCUCUGGUGUGUUGCUUGUAGCGUACUGCACGCCACUGGCUGCUGCAGACGAUGGAGACGAGGUGUUCGAAGAUGACGACGAGACUGACAGCUCAGCAGACGACGACGCUGAGGACAGCGGUGCUGACGAGAGCCUAAUUGUAGAGAGCAGGAGGGCAGUCAAAGCAGGUGCUCACGCCCGGGCCGGCCACGCGAAACACGCUCGUGCAGGCAGCCGACACGCUGCGAGCAGAGCUGCAAACAGACCCCACGCCAGGUCAGGGGCCGCCCGCAGAGCCGCCCACAGCGUGUAGCCGCCGCUGCUGGGGGGGCGCCACACCAUGGAGGUGCAGUCUGGAGCUGCUCACUGUCCUGUACUCUACACUGACACGGCAGAAAUAAAGCACUACUGCACUUCGCAGCAAA